GGGGAAUAUUGCACAAUGGGCGAAAGCCUGAUGCAGCGACGCCGCGUGCGGGAUGAAGGCCUUCGGGUUGUAAACCGCUUUUGAUUGGGAGCAAGCGAGAGUGAGUGUACCUUUCGAAUAAGCACCGGCUAACUACGUGCCAGCAGCCGCGGUAAUACGUGGGGUGCAAGCGUUAUCCGGAAUUAUUGGGCGUAAAGAGCUCGUAGGCGGUUUGUCGCGUCUGGUGUGAAAGUCCAUCGCUUAACGGUGGAUCUGCGCCGGGUACGGGCAGGCUAGAGUGCGACAGGGGAGACUGGAAUUCCCGGUGUAACGGUGGAAUGUGUAGAUAUCGGGAAGAACACCAAUGGCGAAGGCAGGUCUCUGGGUCGUCACUGACGCUGAGGAGCGAAAGCGUGGGGAGCGAACAGGAUUAGAUACCCUGGUAGUCCACGCCGUAAACGGUGGAUGCUGGAUGUGGGGCCCAUUCCACGGGUUCCGUGUCGGAGCUAACGCGUUAAGCAUCCCGCCUGGGGAGUACGGCCGCAAGGCUAAAAC
rnacentral:rRNA from 1 species